rnacentral:rRNA from 1 species
ACGAACGCUGGCGGCGUGCUUCACACCUGCAAGUCGCACGGUGAAGCGAGUGCUUGCACUCGUGGAUCAGUGGCGAACGGGUGAGUAACACGUGAGUAACCUGCCCAUCACUCUGGGAUAAGCACUGGAAACGGUGUCUAAUACUGGAUACGACCAACCCUUGCAUGGGGUGUUGGUGGAAAGAUUUAUCGGUGAUGGAUGGACUCGCGGCCUAUCAGCUUGUUGGCGGGGUAAUGGCCCACCAAGGCGACGACGGGUAGCCGGCCUGAGAGGGUGACCGGCCACACUGGGACUGAGACACGGCCCAGACUCCUACGGGAGGCAGCAGUGGGGAAUAUUGCACAAUGGGCGAAAGCCUGAUGCAGCGACGCCGCGUGAGGGAUGACGGCCUUCGGGUUGUAAACCUCUUUCAGCAGGGAAGAAGCGAAAGUGACGGUACCUGCAGAAGAAGCACCGGCUAACUACGUG